rnacentral:rRNA from 1 species
GAUGAACGCUGGCGGCGUGCCUAACACAUGCAAGUCGAACGAAGAAGCGUAGCUUGCUCUGGGCUUUAGUGGCGGACGGGUGAGUAAUACGUAAGUAACUUACCUUUAACUCUGGGUUAAGUCUGGGAAACAGCGCCUAAUACCUGAUAGGACCAAUAUCGACAUGGGGUGUUGUUGGGAAACGUUGUGUUGUGGUGAUACUUGGGCCGAAGUCCUAGUAGCUUGUUGGUGAGGUAACGGCUUACCAAGGCCACGACACGUAGGCGGCGUGAGAGGGUGAUAGGCCACACUGGAACUGAGACACGGUCCAGACGCCUACGGGAGGCAGCAGUAGGGAAUAUUGGGCAAUGGGCGAAAGCAUGACGGAGCAACGCCGCGUGAGUGAUGAAGGUCUUCGGAUCGUAAAGCACUGUUAGUAGGGAGGAAGAGAUGUGAAAGUAAAUAUGCACGUUUUGACGGUACCUAAUCAGAAAGCCACGGCUAACUACGUG